CAGAGGAGAUGAAUGGUAAUUUACAACGUCUACUUUGUAAAAGGAGACAUAAAACAAGUUAUAUUGAACAGCAUAAUGGGCUCUCAUAUAACAAACAGCAUAAGGGGUUCUCAUAUAACAAACAACGAGCAAUACUGAACAGCAUAAUGUGUUCUAACUACAUUACAGGUGUGUGGUUAAGAUGUUGUUUGGCCUAAACAGAUCUGUUUAGCCUGUUUCCUUAAUAAAUAAAAAAAAAAGACCCAUUUUGCUUAAUUAGACUAUAACUUAAAUAAAAUCAGAGACUAUCCAAAAUAUGAUCACAUUGAUACAAUAUAGACACCUCGUGGUGGGUUACUAUGCAAUGCAUGCAGAGAACUCAUAUGCAAUCUCCAAAUAGACGCCCUAACCCUUUCCAAUUAUCGAGUCUACUUUGUUUCACAUAAAAAAACAUCUGUAAGUUUUAGACAUUCAAUGCACAAUGAAAUUGUACAUACAGAUGAAAUAAAAACAUGCCACAAAAGUACAUUUGAACAUUUAUUUAUUAUAAUUAAAAUAUGAACCUAGAAAACAGCCUAUAAACACUAUUUACAUGAUAGCUAGCAGUGACGUUGGUUUUAGAGUCUAGAACCAUAAAAACAUACACUUAUUUUCCAGUAGUGAUUGUUGUCGUUGUUGUUGUUGUUUUGGCCGCUGAGGGAAAACGGUUGAAUCUUUUGGGGGGGGGGGGCAUUGUAAGACCAUGGUAAAGCAAUCAAUCCAUAUUUUAGAUAGCGUUUGCUUGUGAUAAAACAGACAGUCCUACUAUACACAUUUUCCUGAGCUGAGAGACUAAACCGAUAACAUGGAAGUGAUGAGGUAUGUAUCAUGUUUGGAUUUUACUCUGGUCAGGACUGUUUCUAGUACAUUUCAUUAUUGAUGAGCAGCCAAUUCUCAUUGUUCCAGUUGGUUGCUUGAUAGUCUUUACUCAAGCUGGGGCUACAACAGGCCAAUCUCUGGACAACAGGGGUCGUCCAACAGGCCAAUCCCUGGGCAACAUGUGUCAUCCAACAGGCCAAUCCCUGGGCAACAUGGGUCAUCCUACAACAGGGGUCAUCCAACCGGCCAAUCUCUGGACAACAUGGGUCAUCCUACAACAGGGGUCAUCCAACAGGCCAAUCUCUGGACAACAUGGGUCAUCCUACAACAGGGGUCAUCCAACAACAUGGGUCAUCCUACAACAGGGGUCAUCCUACAACAGGGGUCAUCCAACAGGCCAAUCUCUGGACAACNNNNNNNNNNAUUACGGUACAGAGUCAAUGUGGAGGCUAUAUACAGGGUAUUACGGUACAGAGUCAAUGUGGAGGCUAUAUACAGGGUAUUACGGUACAGAGUCAAUGUGGAGACUAUAUACAGGGUAUUACGGUACAGAGUCAAUGUGGAGGCUAUAUACAGGGUAUUACGGUACAGAGUCAAUGUGGAGGCUAUAUACAGGGUAUUACGGUACAGAGUCAAUGUGGAGGCUAUAUAUCUUGGACCUCGACUUGGCGCUCCGGUACUACUUGCCGUGCGGUAGCAGAGAGAACCGUCUAUGA
rnacentral:lncRNA from 13 species